AUUGAACGCUGGCGGCAGGCCUAACACAUGCAAGUCGAGCGGUAGAGAGAAGCUUGCUUCUCUUGAGAGCGGCGGACGGGUGAGUAAAGCCUAGGAAUCUGCCUGGUAGUGGGGGAUAACGUUCGGAAACGGACGCUAAUACCGCAUACGUCCUACGGGCGAAAGCAGGGGAUCUUCGGGCCUGGCGCUAUCAGAUGAGCCUAGGUCGGAUUAGCUAGUUGGUGAGGUAAUGGCUCACCAAGGCGACGAUCCGUAACUGGUCUGAGAGGAUGAUCAGUCACACUGGAACUGAGACACGGUCUAGACUCCUACGGGAGGCAGCAGUGGGGAAUAUUGGACAAUGGGCGAAAGCCUGAUCCAGCCAUGCCGCGUGUGUGAAGAAGGUCUUCGGAUUGUAAAGCACUUUAAGUUGGGAGGAAGGGCAUUAACCUAAUACGUUAGUGUUUUGACGUUACCGACAGAAUAAGCACCGGCUAACUCUGUGCCAGCCGCCGCCGUAA
rnacentral:rRNA from 1 species